rnacentral:rRNA from 1 species
AGGGCACCACCAGGAGUGGAGCCUGCGGCUUAAUUUGACUCAACACGGGAAGACUCACCCGGCCCGGACACUGGAAGGAUUGACAGAUUGAGGGCUCUUUCUUGAUUCAGUGGGUGGUGGUGCAUGGCCGUUCUUAGUUGGUGGAGUGAUUUGUCUGGUUAAUUCCGGUAACGAACGAGACUCUAGCCUACUAAAUAGAUCGUCGGCUUACAAACGCCGGCGAGACUUCUUAGAGGGACAGGCGGUGAUUCAACCGCACGAAACAGAGCAAUAACAGGUCUGUGAUGCCCUUAGAUGUCCGGGGCCGCACGCGCGCUACACUGAAGUGAUCAGCGUGCUUUUUCAACCUACUCUGUCAAGAGUGGGGAACCCAAUGAACCUUCUUCGUGAUUGGGAUAGGGGAUUGUAAUUAUUCCCCUUGAACGAGGAAUUCCCAGUAAGCGCGAGUCAUAAGCUCGCGUUGAUUACGUCCCUGCCCUUUGUACACACCGCCCGUCGCUACUACCGAUUGAAUGCUUU